CCCUGUCAAAUUACUACUACAUCUUGUUUUGUAAUUAGCAUUGCAUCUUAGUUGGGUUAGUAAGAGAACUAAUCUUGGAUGGAGAAUCUGUAUUUUCCUUUAUUUCUUGAUCCUUUGCUUUGGGUUUAACUGUGAAACUUAAAGCUGUAGAAAGCCUGAGUUGUUUUGGAGGUUGUGUUUCCAAUACCCAUUCCUAUUACCAGGAUAAGCUGAUCUGUUGUAAACUUUAGCUAAGCAAGCUGUCUGUCGGUGAUAGGGCAAUAUCAACCAUACUAUGGUAUGUCUUAUGGUGUCUAAUAAGGAUCUGCAAAUUUGAAUGAUCUCAUCCAUGGUAUUAUAGCUUUAUCUGACGUAGAUAAAGAUAGUCAUUUAGCAUGACUAGAAGAGUCACUUGGAUAGAGAACUUUCAUGCUGGCUUUGUGCUGCAUUUCAAUGACCAAACUGAGCUAGUAAAACUGGCAAAGAUUAUUUUGCACUGGAUAUUUAGUUGGUUGAUUCUUGUAUCUGGAAAGAAUGGUGAAAUGCAAUGUCUUGCCC
rnacentral:lncRNA from 1 species